UGGGGAAUAUUGCACAAUGGGCGCAAGCCUGAUGCAGCAACGCCGCGUGAGGGACGACGGCCUUCGGGUUGUAAACCUCUUUUAGCAGGGAAGAAGCGAAAGUGACGGUACCUGCAGAAAAAGCGCCGGCUAACUACGUGCCAGCAGCCGCGGUAAUACGUAGGGCGCAAGCGUUAUCCGGAAUUAUUGGGCGUAAAGAGCUCGUAGGCGGUUUGUCGCGUCUGCUGUGAAAUCCGGAGGCUCAACCUCCGGCCUGCAGUGGGUACGGGCAGACUAGAGUGCGGUAGGGGAGAUUGGAAUUCCUGGUGUAGCGGUGGAAUGCGCAGAUAUCAGGAGGAACACCGAUGGCGAAGGCAGAUCUCUGGGCCGUAACUGACGCUGAGGAGCGAAAGGGUGGGGAGCAAACA
rnacentral:rRNA from 2 species